CAUGCAGGCGGUUAUACAAGUAGGAUGUGAAAGCCUGGGGCUCAACCUCAGAACUGCAUUCUAAACUGUGUGACUAGAGUAUUGCAGGGGGAGACGGAAUUUCAGGUGUAGCGGUGGAAUGCGUAGAUAUCUGAAAGAACACCAAAGGCGAGGGCAGUCUCCUGGGCAAAUACUGACGCUCAUAUGCGAAAGCUGGGUAGCAAACA
rnacentral:rRNA from 1 species